rnacentral:ncRNA from 1 species
ACAGUUUUGGUCCUGGGCUUACCGUUAUUUUUUAUCAAGAUUACACAUGCAAGUUUCAACAUACCAGUGAAAAUACCCACAACCCCUAAAAAGAAAUCUUGGAGUAGGUAUCAGGCACUACCCAUUAAGCCCAUGACGCCUUGUUACACCACACCCCCACGGGUUAAUCAGCAGUGAUAAACAUUGGGCCAUAAGUGAAAGCUUGACCCAGCUAUGAUAUUUAGGGCUGGUUAAUUUCGUGCCAGCCACCGCGGUUAAACGAAAGGCCCUGAAUAACGGCAAAACGGCGUAAAAUGUGACUAGAUAUGCUUAAUUUUAAAAAUAUUAAAAUCUACAACUUAGUAGUAAAAUACUUAAGCUAUAGAGAAAACCAAUACAAAUAUUUUUAAUCUUAAACCCUUGACCACACGAAAGCUUAGAAACAAACUAGGAUUAGAUACCCUACUAUGCUAAGCCCUAAACAUUGAUAAGCUAACAUACUAUGCUUUCCGCCAGAGAACUACAAGUGAAAAACUUGAAACUCAAAGGACUUGGCGGUGUCCCAUAUCGGCCUAGAGGAGCCUGUCCUAUAAUCGAUACCCCCCGUUUCACCCAACCUCCACUAGCACCCAACAGCCUAUAUACCGCCGUCGACAGUCUACCCCAUGAGGGUUUAAUAGUAGACAAAAUAGCAUGCCCGCUAAUACGUCAGGUCAAGGUGUAGCAAAUGUGGCGGAAGAGAUUGGCUACAUUUUUUAUUUUAAAAAACACGAAAGGCACUAUGAAACCCUGCAUGAAGGUGAAUUUAGUAGUAAAAUAGAUAAGAGUGUCUAUUUUAACAACGCUCUGGGACGCGCACACACCGCCCGUCACCCUCCUCGUCUACAUCUAACCAAACAUAUAUAAACCAACAUAAAUAUAAUUAGAGGAGGUAAGUCGUAACAUGGUAAGCGUACCGGAAGGUGUGCUUGGAUUAAC